rnacentral:rRNA from 1 species
GAUGAACGCUGGCGGCGUGCCUAAUACAUGCAAGUCGAGCGAACGGACGAGAAGCUUGCUUUUCUGAUGUUAGCGGCGGACGGGUGAGUAACACGUGGAUAACCUACCUAUAAGACUGGGAUAACUUCGGGAAACCGGAGCUAAUACCGGCUAAUAUUUUGAACCGCAUGGUUCAAAAGUGAAAGACGGUCUUGCUGUCACUUAUAGAUGGAUCCGCGCUGCAUUAGCUAGUUGGUAAGGUAACGGCUUACCAAGGCAACGAUGCAUAGCCGACCUGAGAGGGUGAUCAGCCACACUGGAACUGAGACACGGUCCAGACUCCUACGGGAGGCAGCAGUAGGGAAUCUUCCGCAAUGGGCGAAAGCCUGACGGAGCAACACCGCGUGAGUGAUGAAGGUCUUCGGAUCGUAAAACUCUGUUAUUAGGGAAGAACAUAUGUGUAAGUAACUGUGCACAUCUUGACGGUACCUAAUCAGAAAGCCACGGCUAACUACGUG